rnacentral:lncRNA from 1 species
CACAAAGCAAAUGCAUUCACUUAGGAUGGUUCACCCUAAAAAAUGAAAAUUCUGUCAUUAUUUACUCACUCGUAAACCAUUAUGAGUUUCUUCUGUUGAGCACAAAGAAAGAUAUUUUGAAGAAUGGCGAUUGCUGGUACCCAUAGACUUCAAUAUUAAUUUCUUUCCUACUAUGAAAGUUGAUGCAACCAGCAUUUUUCAAAAUCUCUUCUUUUGUGUUCAACAGAAAAAAAUUGGUUUAAAACCACACAAGAGAAAAUAAGUUGAGGUUAUUUACAUUUUGGGUUAUCUAUCCAUUUACCAACCUUGUAAUUGUAACCUCUCAUUAAGACUGCCUUUUUCCUAUUUCACAAUAGAUAAAAUG